UAUUUAGAAGUCUUGAAGUGUAUGUUAGUAGCACUUAUAACAAGUGUAAAACUAAAACAUCAAAUAUUUAUUCCAGUCAAGGUCUAAACCAUUGUGGCAGCAGACUUGUCCUUCAUUCCAUCUGAGCAAAGAACAGAAAGAUGACGAGUCAGAUGAGUUUACUGUAAAAAAUCAGUGUUCAUCUGGAGAGUAUAUGAAGAUGAGAUGCAAGAGAAACAAGAUGCAGGAUUUUAGAGAUAAUGAAGCAGGUGCUGGGCCAUCAACUUCUACAUUUAAGAGCAGCAGUCAUCUGAAAAAAAAACAUGAAAGUUUCAGAAGUGCUCUUGUUGACAUUAUAUUGCAGCAAGACCUUACUGAAGAACAGCUUCCAUCCCUUGAUGGAACUCAGCCUCCAGAAACAGAUUCUUCUACACCAAUAGAGAAAGAUAUUUUGAAAUACUACUAUUACAUUCGCCAUGGAAUUGAUACAGCAAAUGUGGCCCCAAUGGAUGAA
rnacentral:lncRNA from 1 species